rnacentral:miRNA from 1 species
GAGGCGGAGCAGAGGAG